GAUGAACGCUGGCGGCGUGCCUAAUACAUGCAAGUCGAGCGAACGGACGAGAAGCUUGCUUCUCUGAUGUUAGCGGCGGACGGGUGAGUAACACGUGGAUAACCUCCCUCUAAGACUGGGAGAACUUCGGGAAACCGGAGCUAAUACCGGAUAAUAUUAUGAACCGCAUGGUUCAAAAGUGAAAGACGGUCUUGCUGUCACUUAUAGAUGGAUCCGCGCUGCAUUAGCUAGUUGGUAAGGUAACGGCUUACCAAGGCAACGAUGCAUAGCCGACCUGAGAGGGUGAUCGGCCACACUGGAACUGAGACACGGUCCAGACUCCUACGGGAGGCAGCAGUGAGGAAUCUUCCGCAAUGGGCGAAAGCCUGACGGAGCAACGCCGCGUGAGUGAUGAAGGUCUUCGGAUCGUAAAACUCUGUUAUUAGGGAAGAACAUAUGUGUAAGUAACUGUGCACAUCUUGACGGUACCUAAUCAGAAAGCCACGGCUAACUACGUG
rnacentral:rRNA from 1 species